GCUCUCUCAGCUCUGCUCAGUUGUGUCUGUCUGAAAUGGUGCAACUGUCGUUAUUGGAGAGAGAAAGGAAAUGAGUUUAAUAUGCACGGCAGUGGGACCUCGCGAUAUGGUCUCCCUGCUCCUUUUCGAACUCGACACUU